rnacentral:rRNA from 1 species
CAAUAGCGUAUAUUAAAGUUGUUGCAGUUAAAAAGCUCGUAGUUGGAUUUCUGGCUGGAGCGAUCGGUCCGCCCCGCAAGGGGUGUGUACUAGCGUCGUCUCCGACCAUCCUUGUGGGAACUGUGCGGCCGUUAACUCGGUUGUAUAUGGGAACACAUCGUUUACUGUGAAAAAUUAGAGUGUUUAAAGCAGGCUUAGCCGUUGAAUACAUUAGCAUGGAAUAAUAAGAUAAGACUUGGGUCAUUUAUUUUGGUUUGGUUUGCGGACUACGAAGGUAAUGUAAUUAAGUAGGGAUUAGGGUUGGGGGUUAAUUCUACUAUUUAAUUGUCAGGAGGUAGUAAAUUUCUU